GCAAUCUCAUCCAUUUGGGCACCUGAAAAAGAAAGAAAACUUCCCAUGGAGAUGUACAGAACAGAGCUGCAAGGUUGAGAAUCUAGCCAUCGUAGAUAGUCGAUGCCAGCACUCGGGUGAUCGUUAGAUUUUCCGUAGGGUAUUAAUGGACCAACUGUGUAAAUGGGUAGUGAGAACUUUGAUCUUAAAACGUCGAUGACUUGGGGUUCAAGCUCAUAGAUGGAGGGGAAUAAGAGAGACUGUGCUUUAGGCACCCAUGAGAAAUCUUCGUGGAUGUGGUGGAGAAUCCUUGGGGAUAUUCGAUUCAUGAAAUGAGGCAGGUCUGCUAGUCGUGUUGAAGAAACUCCUGGGAUGUAGUCCACCCGUUCAUUGCCCCUCUCUAUAAACACACAGGAGAGCAAAAAAAAUUAGAAAACGACAUGGAGGGCACAAAAUUGUGACCCAUGCGGUGAAAAACUUUCUUACAAACUCAUGAACUUUGUUGUUAAGACUUAAGCAUGCUCGAUCUAGUCCAAAUCGAACUUCAUCCUAAUUUUGAGCAAGUUAUGGGUUAACAUGUUAUUUUAAAACAUUGAAGCUCUUGAAAUGACCGUUUCACCAUUCCACAUGAGACACACACCGGUAAAACUUAAAAAGAGAACAAAAUUAGAUUGUUAAGUUUGAUAUGGAUGAUAUCGACAAGAAGUUUAACCACAAGGGCAUUGUUAACAUACAUUGAGCUUUGAUCCCAAAAUUAGGAGAGGCUAUCUAGAAAUUCUUUUAUUUUAUUUACACAAGCAUAAAAUUAGGGAGGAAUAUCGAUCACGUACCCAUAAAAAUGUAUAAGGCUAAAAAUAUGGGACUUGGCUUCUCUGUCCUCUCACUUCCCAUACACUCUUAUCUCCUCCUAUUUGUGCGGUCACGGUUAACUCACGUCAACAUUUUAUAUUACUAUUGUUUUUUAUCUUAUUAUUUCUAUAAAAAAAUCAAUAUAAAAUGUUGACGUAACUUAACCGUAACCGCACAAAAUAGGAGGGGAUUGAAGUGUAUGGAAAGUGGGAGGACAAAGAAGUCGGUUCCAAAAAUAUGUGUUAACUUACUACUUAAUCUAAUGGUACUUCUCUUUUCAUGGCGCCAGAUAUCCAAGCUUUCGACUUUCUAGCUAUAUUUAUAUAGCUACAAUUUUUAUAUUACGUAUAUACUAGCAUAGGCUGUAUAGCUAACUAAAAUAACUAAAAAUCAGCACCAAAAAGGAAAGAAAGAACAGAUAAAAAAACAACAUUCUUCAGAACAAUCAGAUAUGUUACCCAAAAGAGAAGUCAAUGUGACAGAGACACUAACCUAACAAUUCAACCGGAUAGUGCCCAUUUUGCGCUAAAAGAUCAAAAUGUUGGAAAACGGAGAAAAGGGACGCCGGCAUCGGCCAAAACGACGCCGCCGGGAUACUCCUCCGGUUCCCGACACGGACCGCCCAAGGCAGGAAAGUGUCGGCCACGAUCAGGCACGGAGGCGGCUCGAGCCGAUCCAUGAGCCGCUCGAACGGGGCCUCCAUCUUCGUCAUGAUGGCGUCGAUGAAGCCAUCCAUGUCGGCGGCGCGGACCAGCUCCGACGGGACGACGUUGGGAAUCGUGGUGAGUCGAAUGUUGUCCGGGGUGGCUUCGGAACCGAUGAAGCCGAGCCAUUCCUCCGUGACGACGAAGGUGAUGAGAAUGUCAGGCUUUUGUGAAGUCAGUAGCUUGCAGAGGUUCAUCAUCGGGUUGAUGUGGCCCCGACCGGGAUACGGCAUGGCCACCACGUGGCAGAUAGGGGCUCUCUGGUCUCUGGCGGGGUUCAUGUCUGCGUUUAUGAAGAAGAAGAUGUAACUUUGUAGUUAUAACUUAUAAGAGUGGUUAUAUAGAGAGGUAGGUACAGAGGAGAAAGAAGGCAGUUCGAACUGAAAUUAAGUUGGGGUUGCUUGAUGGGUAUGGUUGGCGACUCCAUUGAAUAUUCAAGGUUCCGUAUUUGGCUUGCUUGCUUGAUUUGGUAAAGGGAUUCUCUUGUGACGGAUCCAAGACGAUUAUGGCAUUUUUAAUGAUAAAUUGUUAAUUAUGAUGUUUAUAUUAAGAAAGGAAAAUUGUUAUUGGUAUUCUACAAUUGUCAUUUGACACUACAAAUUUUUUAUGUUUAGAAAGAACAAUACACGUGUGAAAUGCAAAUUGAGAUUUAUAGAGUCUAAGAACGGUUUUCUAAGACUAUCUCCAACACUUGGGCUAAAAGUUAAAUUUUUUAGUCCGGAAAAUUUAGCUUUUGGCUUAUAUCCCAUAAACAGUUUUUUUACUCCAACCCUUCUGGCCUAAAAUUUUAGCUCAGGAUUAUUAAAGAAUGAAUUUAGGCUAAUUUUUUUCUUAAAUUAACUUUAAAAAAAAUUAUGUAGACUAUCGUAAAUUAAUUUUACGAACAUUUUAAGCUAAAAAUAUUUAAAUUCCGAUUAAUAUUGAAAAAUUACUAAAUCGAUAUGUGAAACUCAUGAAACACUGUGAUGAAUAUGAAAAUCAUGAUAGAGAUGUAUAAACACAAAAUACAUAAAACACACAAGGUACACAGAACACAUGUGAAACACAUACAAAACACAUUUAAAACACGUACACAUGUGAAAGACAUACAAAACACAUGAUAGAGAUGAAGCACACAUAUAACACAUGUGAAACACAUGACACACACGAAACACAUACAAAAUACAUACAAAGCAAGCCUUCAACUUUCACCAAUCGAUCAACUUUCACCAAUCUUUCAACAAACUUUCAACUUUCACCAAUCGUUCAAUUUUCACCAAGGAUUUGGUUGAGCAUGUAUGGCGCCGAGAAGGUGAACGUUGAUGAUGUUAGUUAAGCAUUUAUGAACGUUGAUGAUGCUGGUUAAGCAUUUAUGUAAUAAUUUUAAAUAUACUAUGUUGGUAUUUUCUAGUAAUAAAUUUAAGUGUCUUCUUGUGCAAAGUAUUUUGUGUAGUACAUUGGAUAAAUUAUUGAAUGGAGAUUGAAUUAUUGAAGACAUCUAUUCUACAUCAAAGUGCGGAAUAAUAAAUACAAUAAUUAUUGAAGGCAUCUAGAUUAAUAUAAACAAUAAUUCAUAAGCCAUAAAUUUAAUACACAUGACAAUUAAUAAAGUACAUAAACUUAAUACAAACGACAAUUAAUAAACCACAUAAACCACAUAAACUUAAUAUAAUCGAUAAUUCAUACACUACAUAAACUUAAUAAUGAUAUCUACUAUCUUGACUUGGUGGUGGACUUGGGAUAUAGAGUUGAGAUGAUAUACUCCUUGUAGCAUACUUUCGCAAAAUUUCAUUUUGCUUACCACGUAAGAACUUCUUCAUUUUUAGAGUGUAUUUGUUGAGGUCCUCAAUCAUGAAAUUAAUUUCAAACCUAUCUUGCUCCCUAUCCCCUUCUUCCUUCAUUUGCAAACGCAUUUGGGCCGCUUCUUUUUUGCGAGCGCUAUGGGUUUCGCUCAAUCUUGCAAUUAUUUUAGUUAUUUUAGCCGUUGGAUUUAAAUUUGGGCCGUUAGAUUAUUUUUACCGUUAUAUUUGAUUAUUUUCGAUCUCAGCCGUUGGAUUCAAUGUAUUUUAAAAUUACAUUUUUUUUAAAAACAAAAUUUGAAUUUGGACCGUUGGAUCAACCAACCAAUGGUUCGUAAAGCCCAGCUGUAGGAUGUAGAAAAGAGCCGUUGGGCUCUGGUUGGUGGCCGACAGCGGCCCUGAUAGUGGGCCCCCCUGUCAGGCGCUGAAGCCAAACGGCUCGUGUGGGGCGAGUGCGCAAGUGAACGGGCCGAGAUUGGGCUCCCUUUGGGUGAGUCCACGCGUUUGUGGGCUAUUUCUUAGGGGGGUAUUUGGCCUUGGUUUGGCAUUUGGCUUGGGUUGGGUUUUUUUGGGGGGGGGGGAGGGUGGUAUAAAUGAGGUAAUUUGGCAAAUAGCCCAGGGUUAAGUGUGGUCUAAGAAAGAUCAUUUAUAUAUGUUGCGAAACUUUUCAAACUCUUUUAAAAUCUUUCCAAAAUCUCAAUUGAAUAUGUAAUCUUUUAAAUGUGUUAUUCAUGUUCAAAAAGUAUUAGACUAUUAAAAUACUGAGUCAGGUAUCAACACUUAAAAGUGAACAAGUGCAUGUGUGGAUCCACGUAGGUACGAGUGGUCCUGAGACAAACCUGAGGUAGGAAAAAAAAGCUAGUGAAGGUCCUUCGUGGACUAUUCAGAUGUUUUGUGUCCAUCCAAUGUUUAAUGAAUGAAUGUUUGGCAUAUAUAGAUAUCAUUUUGCUGGACGUGUCGAUUUCUCUUAACACAAGUUGCAUCAAUCAGCAAAGGAUCUCGACAGCACUUAGUAGAUACAUCUACGUGGCACGGCUCGAUAGAGGACAAUAAGCACAUCAAGCGCUCGACGUAAUUUCCUUUUUGAAACAAAAAAAAAAAAAAAAAACUAAAACAAGAUCUGCACGUUGCGUGCUAUCUUUGUUAGAAAAAUGAAGAUCAUUAAACCAAGACCCCUCAAGGUUAGAAUUUUGAAUCUGUCAAUUAACAUGUGCCUAGAAGUUUUAAACACUUUCAUCACAAACAUCAACAAAAAGUAGAGUUUUAUUUGAUAGAAAAAGAGAACAAAACAAGAAAUGCUCAAUCCUCACGCACGCCCUCUGCGAAAUGACUAAUGAAGGCCUUGAUGAUGGUAUGAGAUGAUCCACCUUCUGCAAUGGCAUCAUGACAUAACUGCUUAAGUUCUCUGGCUGUCCUCCUCAUUUCCUCCCUUCAUCAUCCUCCAAAUCCAUAAACUUCUUCACUAACCCUGCAAUAUCCUCUGUUGUCACUAUCCUCAACCUUCCUCACCCUCCAUCCAACCCUCAAUUGGUCACACCAAGGCACUACCAACCCCAUGUCACCACAAACCUCCUUUACCCUAUCGGUUUCCCCACGAACCGGCCAAAUGAACCGAACGCCACUCUUGCACAAACCGGCUGCAAUCUCGUCCAUUUGGAGUCGGACGCUAGAAACUGAAAGGAAACUUCCCAUGGCGAGGUACAAAAUGGAUGCAGGAAAAUAAGCAAGGGUCUCGAAGAGACGAGGGAUAGAACCUGGGAAUCGCUCAACCAAAGGCAACGGAGCUUGCUCAACCUCGCUAAUCGUGAAUUCACUCACACGAUCAAACCAAACGCUUGAUUUGAGAAGAAAGAAAAUACUCUUUUCGGUUGCACAAAGCAAUAUAUUUGUAAUUAAUCGUCUCCCAAAUGCUUGUAUUUCAUCAUAAGAGACUCACCAUAAUUUAGAUGAACUUAACAAAUUCCCGAAGUAAUUAAAAUAGACAGCCUUUAUUAUUCCCAAAGCAUAGUAGUGGUCUUCAAAUUGUUUUCUUCAAGGCCUGCCUCUCCCUCAUAAAAAACUGAGCUACAAGGUUGAGAGUCUAGCCAUUGGAAUAGUUAGCAUCACUAGUUACUUGGGUAGGAGGGUCAUUUUGCUCAUAGUAGGGUAUUGAUGGGCCCAUAGUGUAAAUGGGUAGUGAUAAUUCUGAUCGUAAAAUGUCGAUGGUUAGGGUUUCAAGUUCAUAGGAGAUGGCAGAGAAUAGCAGGUAUUGUGCUUUAGGUACCCAGGAAAAUGAGUUAAGCAAGAAUAUUUCGGUUGCUUUCAUAGAUGAACUGAGGGAGGUGCGCUAGUCGUGUCGAAGAAACUCCGGUAAUGUAGCUCACACGUUUAUUUCCCUGAUCUGUUAACAAUGCAAAAUUGUUGUUAUAAGUAGCAAACUUACACAAUAAAAACGAAAUCUUAAACGAAAUGUUAGACUUACAACACGAGGAUGUGCUCCUGUCAUAUACGUAAAACUAUCAGUUAACACUCACUAAUAUCUUAAGAAAAAUGUUCUCUUCCUGCACGUUGGCUCAAUUCAACACUACUGUCAUCAGAAAUUGUGGUAGCGACACUCAGAAGAUGGCACUCUCACCGGUGAUGUAAUAAAACCAAAUUGCAGUGUGCAAUCUUCUCUUACUUCUUGAUUGCAUCCAUAUAUGGAAGCUAGAACUUAAAAAUAAGUCCUCCAGGGAUUUUAAAGCUUGCAGCGGCCAUGCCUAACUGCUUUUUAUACAGUUUGGUUGUGCCAGACCCGUUCAAAGUGAAACAGGAAACACCCUCAUAUGAAACAUAAUAAGAACAAAAUUCUCAAGAAAAUUGGAGUUUGGAAAGUUCCCGAAUUCCAAUUUUUAUUACUCCUCAAAUGAAUUUGAUCCCAAUCAAUCAAUAUAAUCGGGAACCAAAUUGAUCCCAGGUUUGGUUCCCAACCAAACUGGAUACACCCUCAGAUGAAACACAAUUAAUUAUUUUAGAGUGCCAAUAGCAGCCCCUUAAAUAAAACCAAAAGUGCAAAACCAGAUACAAACAACAACAAAAAAGCCUUAUCUCACUAAGUGGAGUCGGUUGGCAAAACUAGAUGCAAACAUUCCACAUAGUUGAGAAUGCACUUGAAGUACAACCCCUUGCACCGACAGUUUGUAUUUUCAUCGACGCACAAGACAAAUCACUACCAGCUUUGCACCGUCUUUUGAGAACCAGCAACAACAAGAUUCAGUGUGCUCAAUGCUUAUGCAUGGCCUUGAAAAAUGUCUACAAUGAAGGCAUUGAUGUUCGUUUGAGAUGAUCCGCCUUCUUCAAUAGCAUCAUGACAUAUCUGUUUAAGUUCUCUGGCCCUUCUUCUCAUUUCUCUCCCUUCAUCGUCCUCCAAAUCCAUAAACUUCUGCGCCAGCACAGCAAUCUCCUCGCUAGUCACCAAAUGGUCGAUUUUGUCCUCAGCCUUCCUCAACCUCCACCCAACUUUCCAAUCCUCCACAAUCAUCUUACUAACCAUGCCUUGAUCCAUACGUAACGGAAAGGUCAGAAACGGGACACCAGCAAAAACACCUUCCCUAACCGAGUUCCAACCGCAAUGUGUCAAAAACCCACCAACACUAGAAUGGCACAAAACCCUCAAUUGUUCACACCAAGGCACUACCAAACCCAUGUCGCCACAAGCAUUUUUUAACCUGUCCGUUUCCCCACGGGCCACCCAUAUGAACCGAACCCUACUCAAGCGCAAACCGCCUGCAAUCUCAUCCAUUUGGGCACCUGAAAAUGAAAGAAAACUUCCCAUGGAGAUGUACAGAACAGAGCUGAAAGGUUGAGAAUCUAGCCAUUGUAGAUAGUUGAUUCCAGAACUCGGGUGAUCGUUGGAUUUGAUGUAGGGUAUUAAUGGACCAAUUGUGUAAAUGGGUAGUGAGAAUAUUGAUCUUAAACGUCGAUGACUUGGGGUUCAAGCUCAUAGAUGGAGGGGAAUAAGAGAUAUUGUGCUCUAGGCACCCAUGAGAAAUCUUCAAGGAUGUGGUGGAGAAUGUUUGGGAAGAUUUCACUAAUGAAGGGCAGGUCUGCUAGUCGUGUUGAAGAAACACCUGGGAUGUAGUCCACACGUUCAUUUCCCCUCUCUAUAAACACACAGGAUAGCAUAAAAAUUUAAAAACAAAAUGGAGGGCACAAAAUUGUGACCCAUGUGGUGAAAAAGAUUCUUAGUACAAACUGAACUUUGUGGUUAAGCAUGCUCGAUCUAAUCCAAAUCGAACUUUGUAUCCUAAUUUUGAGCAAUCUAACCGGAACUGGAUCCAAAAGGAUCUGAGUCCAUUAAUUAAUGAAUCUGGACCAUUGAUAUUUGAUACAACGAUUACAAUUAUUAUAACUUUAAAUGAAUCUUCUGUUUGUAAUCGUUAGAUCAAAUUUCAAUGAUCCGAAUUCAUUGAUUAGUGGGCUCUGGAAUGAAUCUAGUUCCAAUUUAACCCAUGUGGACAUCAUGUGCAAAGAUGAAAAGAUCAUUUUAAGACGUAUAAGCUUGUUAAUUUAUAUCUUAAAACUUGCUUGAAAAGAUCGAUUCACCUUUCUACAGGAAGCACACACUAGUUAAACUUAGUAGUGGACAAAAUUAGAUUGUUAGGUUUGAUGUGGAAGCACACACUGGAAUGAACGUUUCACUCUUUCAUGAAGUACUUUAAAUUCUUUUUCAAGAUUUCUUUGAGUUUUUAUUAAAUAUUAGUUCUAAAAACAUUUUUAUCAAAAAUAUUUUAAAUUAUUUAAAAAUAUAUCUAAAUAAGUUUUAAGAUAAAAAAAUGCGUUCGUAUAAAAAUUAAAAAUUAAAAAAAAAAGGGACAAAGACACUAACCUAACAAGUCAACCGGGAAAUGCCCGUUGUCUGCUAAAAGAUGAAAAUGUUGGAAAAAGGAGAAAAAGGACGCCGGCAUCGGCCAAAACGACGCCGCCGGGAUACUCCUCCGGUUCCCAACACGGACCGCCCAAGGCAGGAAAGUGUCGGCCACGAUCAGGCUCGGCGGAGGCUCGAGGCGAUCCAUGAGCCGCUCGAAUGGGGCCUCCAUCUUGGUCAUGAUGGCUUCGAUGAAGCUGUACAUGUCGGCGGCGCGGACCAGCUCCGACGGGACAACGUUGGGAAUCGUGGUGAGUCGGAUGUUGUCCGGGGUGACUUCGGAUCCAAUGAAACCGGACCACUCCUCCGUGACGACGAAGGUGAUGAGGAUGUCAGUCUUUUGUGAAGUCAGUAGCUUGCAGAGGUUCAUCAUCGGGUUGAUGUGGCCCCGACCGGGAUACGGCACGGCCACCACGUGGCAGAUAGGGCCUGUCUGGUCUUUGGUGGAGUUCAUGUCUGGGUUUAAGAAGACGACGACCUAACUCUGUAGUUGUAUAUAACUUUGUUUGGACCCAAAUUUACAUCAUCGGCCCAUGUAAUCAAAGCCGUUGAGUAAACGUAGUUCUCAACCGUCGGAUGGAAAAGUGGAGAUAAUUUUUAUUGUUAAAGGAUAAUAUUAUGAUUUUUAUCAUAAUAUUUAUCGUUUAAAAAAUUAUCUUGAUUUUUUCUUGUACAAGAUGAGGUGCAAAUUAUAUCUUCAAAGUGAGCAGUACAGUUCUAUUUAAUUUGGGGUUCUUGGGAUUUAAACGUGAGGUAGAUUAGAGCAUCGGAGUAUUUUAUUGUUAUUAUCCAUUUAAAAGUGGGUGAUAAAUGGUGGAUAAAUGUUGUUGAGCACGUAGCUUGGAAUCGAUCAAGAUGGUUUGUUGAGAUGCAUGCAUGAUGCAUGGAUGGGAUGAAAUUAUGAGAUAAAAUGAAUUUAAUAUUCAUUUAAAGGAAGCCUAGAAACGUAGGUCUUUUUGGUGAUGUGAUGAUACGGUAGGCUAGGUUUUUAAUGCUUAUUUCUUGGGUUGGUUCCGUGAAGAUGGAUGGAGGAAAGCAAGUGGUGAAGCCACGUCACCAAAGAUCAAAUCCUUUAUAGAUCAAGUCACGUCAGAUAUGGGAAUUUGAAAUAAGAGUCUGAUCCACGUCAAGAAAUUCUCACGCAAUACUCGGCAGCACAUCCCUAUAAAUACAGAGGCAGUAGCAACGAAGAGAACACCCCCACAAAAUCAAUACAAAAUUGCCCUGCGCAAACUUUCACAACUUGUGAUUUUUUUUUUUUCCUUUUUCGCUGACACAUCUUCCGUUGGCAUCAACAGCACUGUGGAAGCAACCGGUGAUAUCUUAAGUCGGCAUAGAUAGCUCUGUCACCGUAGAGUCAGUCAGUCUCGCAGUACCUUCCGUUGGCAUCAACAGCACUGCGGCGAGAACGAUUGAUUACCUAUCCAAGUCUCGGUCGAGAAGGGUUUCUAAAUCCUUAUUGGUCGAGGUCAUCUCAUCAGCCUUCUCGGCGAAGUGAGGUGUUACAGUUAUUACAUUCGGCACAUUGAAAGCCGAAUUUGAUAUUGAACUUCGUAAGAAUAGUAACCUUGUCUUCAGGUUCGAGAGCCCAAGAGGCCGAGACGUGUUCCUUUCUCGGCCGCAAUCGCAAGACGCAGAAGUCAGUAGCGCGACCCAACGCAACAUCAACAAAUUUACUCCUCGGCCGACGAGUUGGCACGCCCCGCAUUCACCGAAGGACGUAGUUAGCUCAUUAAUUACUCGGCUUGCGCGCCACGUAGGCUUUGUAGUUUCUAGGGUCAACAAACUUAUAAGUGGUUAUAUAGAGAUGGAUAUAUACAGAGGAGAAAGAAGGCAAUUACAUCUGAAAUUAAGUUUCCAACUUUCCAUUGUUGGCUUGGCUUGCUUGAUUUGAUCAAAAUACUCUCUUUUUAUGAAGGACUUAGAUUGUCUGUCCUCACAUCGGCUUAGAUUGUCUGUCCUCACAUCCCAUAUCAUUUCCAUGUCCUUUUAUUUAUGUGGUCAUGAUCAAGGUAUAAAAUAUCGAUGAUAUCGGAAAUAUCGGUAAUUUAAAAACACGGAAAAUUCGAUGGAAAUAUCGGAAUAUUAUCGAUAUCAAUAAAAAUUAAAUAAAAACCACGGAAAUUGUAAGAAAAACUUGGAAAUUUUUAUUGAAACUUUGCAGGAUGUUUAUUUAGUCAAUUAUCUAUUAGUUUAUCCCAAAACAAUUGGAAGGAAAUGCAUUGGAUGAUAAAUAUAACUGAUUUAAGUUGAAUAUAUAACGAGCUGGCAAACAUUGUGAGUGUAGAAAAUAUGUAGUAAUUAAUGAAAAAAGUUUAAACACACCAUAAUCAUUUAUAUAUAAUGAAUUAGUACAAUAUUUUACACUUUAUACAUUGCAUAGUAAGAUACAUGAGUGACUUAGCAAGGUCUAAAAUAUCGAUGAUAUCGGAAAUAUCGGUAGUCCAAAAAAAUAUCGAUAGUCCAAAAACACGGAAAUUUCGAUGGAAAUAUUGGGAUAUUAUGGAUAUUUUAGACCAUGGUCAUGAUUAAGCCACAUCAACAUUUUAUAUUCUCAUUACUUUUUAUCUUCUUAUUCUUUUAUAAAAAAUCAAUAGAAAUAUUGAUAUAACUUAACCGUAACCAUAUAAUAUAAAAGGGCAUGAGACAAACAUGAAAUGGAGAGAACAGACAUUCCAAGUUCUUUUAUGAAAGCUUGCUUGAUUUGAUAGAAAUAUUUUUUUAUAAUGAAAACGAUAAUAUUGCAUUGAUAGCAAAGUUACAAAAAGAAAUGCUAGGGAAGUCUUUCAAAAGUGAAGUUUUUCACAAAUUCUUUGACACUUAACAUUUUUGAGAAUUAUUUUUUAAGAAAACUAAUGAAAAGAGUUUGAAAACUUUGAGUUUUAAUGAUAAGGACAAAAUAAAGAGUAAAGUAAAUAGUAUCAGAUUUGACUUUUUAGUGUAAAAAUGUAAUUUUUCGUUAAAGUGAACAGUACCAUGGGCUUUUCGUUAAAACCCCCUUAUUUUUUACAUUGUUUUAUAAUGUUGAUACGGAAAUUGACGUUAAACUAUGAAGUGACAAAAAAUUGAUAAUGAGUCUCUAUUUUGAAAAAAUCCUUUUAGCAUUUCUCUUUUAGCACAAAAGGAGAACACAAAGGUCAGUCCAUUACCAUUGAUGAACAUCCUCCAAGAUCACAUCGGCUAUAAAGCCGGGAGGUGCAUCUAACCAAAUACAAGGACUAACAGCUCCAAGGGCAUAACGAGCUAGAUGAUGAGCAACAUUAUUGGCUUGACGACUGACUUGGGUAUAAGAAUCCUUAGCGAUCCUCCUCAGCCUCCUCAGUAGGUCUCUGGAAUCUUCAAAAAUAUGGCCAAUGGGAGACAUAUUAAUGGAAGGAUCCUUUAGUGCCGAGAUAAUCUAAAGCAAAUCGCUUGUGAUGGAACAAAGGCGAUUAUAAGUUUUUCACGAUGAAUCGUUAAUUUUUUUGUUUUGUAUGAACAGUUAAAUCAUUUUUAAACUAAAGUACUUUUCUAAAUUAAUUUUUAAAAUAAGAUAAAGAGAAUAAACAAUGUCAACUAUGACGUUCAUUACGAAAGAUGUUGCAUUAAUGAGGAAGGAGAUCUUCCCCCUUUAAUAAGAAUGAACUCUCCAAUAAGAAUGAGAAAUAGCACUAUCCUUCCUAAUAGCACUUAGAACGUGAACAAAUUUCUUUGUUCAAUUAUGUAUAGCAUGUCAAGUUCAUUUUUUUCUUUGUUAGAUAGUGUAGAUGUUAUACUGCCAAGAACGUGAACAAAUUUCUUUGUUCAAUUAUGUAUAGCAUGUCAAGUUCAUUUUUUUCUUUGUUAGAUAGUGUAGAUGUUAUACUGCCAAACUUUUAAAACACUUUUAAAAUCUUUAAAAUUUCAAUAGAAUAUACAGUCUAUUAAACAUGUGAUUCAUGUUCUCAUGGUAAAUACUGAGCCAGGUAUGAACACUUAAAGCAACACAAGUGCUUGGGCAGAUCCACGUAGAAACCAGUGGUCUCGGACGCUCUUGAGUUCGGAAAAAUGCUAGUGAAGGUCUUCUAUGGACUCUUUAGAUGUCUAGUAUGAAUUUUUUUUUUGUGCCAACCAUUUAAUUAAGGUAACUUUAACGAAAAACUCAUAGUACCGUUCAUUUUAACGAAAAACCAUAUUUUUACACUAAAAAGUCAAUCAUUGUACUAUUCACUUUAUUUUUUAUUUUGUUCUUAUAAUUAAAACUCAAAGUUUUCAAGUCAUUUUCAUUAGUUUUCCUUUUAAUUAAUGCAUGUUUGUCAUAUCUCGAUACACUCUGCAUGACGCGUCGAUAUCUGUCGGUAAGAUGCAUCACUCGACAUAUGGUCACGACAGCACUUGGUAGAUCUCAACAUCUACGUAGCAUGCCUCGACAAAGGACGAUAGAAACACCAAGUGCUCCACGAAUUAUGAAUCUGCCACUGAACAAGUGACUACAAGUUUUAAACACUUCCAUAAGAAACAUCAAGAGUUUUAUUUGAUAGAAAAGGAGUUAAGAGCACACAUUGGAAGGAAACUUAUUUAGAUUCUACACUAUUUUACAUACCAGAUACAAGGCUAAUUUGCAUACUGAACCUCCAAGCCCAAGUAGAUAUAUACCACGCACAGCCAUGUUAAAUGGAUCAUGGAUAAGGAAGUCGUGUCUCCAUUUGAAGAUUGCAGGUAGCUUUGCCAAUAUCCCUGAUAAAAUCAUCAAGAUUUGUAUCAGAUGAACCUCAUUUUGCAAUCACUCGGUGUCACAAAUCUCCGAGCUCUUUCGCUCUUCUCCUCAUUUCAGUCCCAUCACUGCUUUCAGGAUCCAUAAAUCUCUUCACAAGUUCAGCAACCUCUUCUCUUGUCAUCAACUUUUCAUCAUGUACCUCUGAUUUAACCCUCUUGCCAAUCUUCCAUCCUUCAACUAUUUGCCAGUUGUUUGGAAUUUGAUCGGGAAAAAGAGGAGAAGUAAGCAUUGGGACACCGGCGAAAACAGCUUCUAAAGUCGAAUUCCAUCCACAAUGUGACCAAAACCCACCCACAGAAGAAUGGCACAACACUUUAAGUUGCUUACACCAUGGCACCACCAACCCCAUACCAUCACUACCACUACAGCUCUCACUCAAUCGAGCCACCUCCCCCAACACAACCCACAAGAACCGAACCCCCGCUACAUUUCAGCCCGGCUGCGAUUUCAUCCAUCUGCAUGUUUGAAACAGAAAGAAAACUCCCCAAUGAGAUGUACAAGAUAGAGGCUAUUGGUUGGGAAUCAAGCCAUUUCAUAUAGUCAAUGCCAUUGUCACCAACUGACACAGAGGAAUUUUUUCCAAGCUCCAAGUAAGGUAUGGCAAGACCAAUUGGGUACACAGGGAAUGGGAGUUUCUCCUGGAAAGUGUUUGUGGCUAGAAUUUCCGUUGGGGAUGUUUCCUAGCGGACGAACACACAGCUCCCCGAGAGGUUGGCGCAGGUUGAUACUUUCUGUCGGGCUUCUGCUCACUGGCGGGCUUGUCGGGCAAAGCUUGUCGAGCAAGGCUUGUCGGGCAAGGCUGAAAGAAAAGGACAUGGUUAACUUUGAAAGGUGUCUUUAUAGGGCCUUAGGUGUAGGCCUUUAGGCUCACAAUUAAGAUUAACUUUUAGGUGUUCAGGCGUGCCAUUGCCAUCUUCAGCAUGGCAGAUGUAAAACAGAUGUUGAGUUUUAAUUGUAUAUAUACCCGAGAAGCUGUUUUAGUUUAUGAAAAGUGCCUUUAUGGGGCCUUAGGUGUAGGCCUUGAGGCUCUCAAUCAAUAACUAACCCAGUACUCGAACAUAUAAUGUUUGUUUCAUUGAUUGCAUAAGUGUUAUGACUAUUAUACUUCUAAUUACCCGAGCCCGAAAAGUAGAAUGAAUCCAAAUAUGUGCCUUUGUAGGGCCUUAGGUGUAGGCCUUGAGGCUUCCCAUCAGAAUUACUUCUAUACUCAAAUGUUCUACGAUAAUCAUAAUAUAACAGAAAUAAAACUAGGAAAUAGGUCGAUUACUUGCGCCCCAAGUAACUUCGGACUUCUUCUUAUCAAAGACUGUCGUGGAUGGGUUAAAUCCACAUAAGGUUCUUUUUUAUGCCUUGAGACCAAGGACUUUUGAAUGAUCAAUCUUACAUGUCCGAGGGUUUAGAACUUAGAUCUUAUUUAAACUGUGAAUACAGAUUCCAAUCGAAUUCAAGAACUGAGGAGUCUUUUAAGCAUUAACUUGCUAGAAAUAACUUGGAUACCAAUGGAAGUAUACAACAUAUUACUAGACUUAUGAAUGAAAAGACAAAAACAAAGAGGGUCGGGCAAGGUUUCACCUUGUCGGGCAAGGCCUGUCGUCUUGCAACUUCCUAUCUUUAUGACUGAUAAAGGGGUUUGAGAGCUUAGAGAAAAGGAUAGGGGGAUGAGUUUACAGAAAGAAAUCGAUACUACAGUAAGAUUUAGACAAGGUAGCAGAGCUUUUACAAAGGCUUUAGGGUUGAUCCCGAAAGGGAUGAAAGCUUGGGCUGACUACGGCUUCGUUGAAGGCAAAUCUGGCUUGAGCAAAGUUUGUGCUUGUAUUUGUUUGUUUGUUUGAGUGUCCUCAUCUCUGAUUUCUCUUUCUUCCUUUAUAGACAGUUUGACUUGGCCUUCUGUAGCAUUAAUCUUGCCUGAAUGCAGCUUGAAGGGCAAUGACUCAUCAGUUUUUUACUUGUACUGCCACUGUAAAGUGAUUUUAGGCUGAUUAGCUGGCUGGUCUACACCACUUGGUCUCUAAGUAGGUGAAUAAGUGGUUCAAAUGAUCUGCACAUAGUCGGGAAAAGGCCUUUUCUGCCUUCUGGGCUUUGGCUGAGCUUCGGGCUCCUUUCCUCCUAGUCCUUCUUUUGGGCCAAUUCCCUUUUGAGCCCAAAGUUCAAGUUUUAACCCAAACAGAAAUAGUGGAAGGUUUCAGGUUCGAGCUUAUAAAUUGUAGUGAACAGAAAACACUGAGCUUUUGGAACCCAUGAAAUGCAUUCCAGAGCAAGCUUCAUGACUUUAGGGUCGAUUCUUCGAAACACUUCUCCAAGGUCUGCUAAAUCAGAUGAAAAAAUCCCUGUAAUUUGGUCUCUAGAAUCUAUCACAUAGAAACAGAAAACUCAAUUUCCAUAUUAAUUUCAAUUUGUUAGAAAAAGGAAGAUCUUUAAAGUAAGACCCCUCAAAGUUAGAAUUUUGAAUCAGUCAACUAACAUGUGCCUAGAAGUUUUAAACACUUUCAUCACAAACAUCAACAAAAAGUUGAGUUUUAUUUGAUAGAAAAAAAAAGAACAAAACAAAGGCAAACAACAAAACAAGAAAUGCUGACCAGGUGGGACAAGGAUUAAAAUACUCAGAACCAGGGAGAAAAAAGUCGACCAGGACCAACAAAGAUAACAAUCGCUGUUCUGGUUUUCUUCCAUUAAUUGUUGUGUUUUCGGCUGGUGAUUUAGUAAUAGGGAUGGUUGGGGAUUGUAUUUCCGCUUUGUUUCUUUAGUAUUAUUUUGGAUCAUUUUCGCCCCUUUCAAGCCCUAAUUAGUUUUUGUCAGAAUUGGGGGAAGGGUUUGGCCCAUGUGGUCCUUGUCUUAAUGGGGAAGCUGAGUUCCCUAAUCCCCGACAAAAUGAGUCGGAAGGGGAAUCUGACACAGAUGAUUAUGCCUGACUGUAAUGAGACGAAACCCAUAACUACUAAAGGCUUCAGGUCUUCAAUUUCCACCGGAUACAGGUUACUCCAACCACCAAUAUUAAUUGCCAUUAUCUUAUAUUUACAACAAACAAAAGAAACUGAUUGUGGGGUGGAAAAGAAUACUAUUUACUCUGUUGUUAGACUGGAAAAAGCCCAUUUGUUGCACUUGAAGUACUCUGCAGUGCAAACGAGUCAAACUUUGCAGCUCAAUUCGGAUAUGGCGCAGCAGGGAGUGGAGGAGCUUAUGGUUCAUUUGGAGAAAGCAAUGGACUUGUUAGCUAUGGAGCAAGGUGUUAAACUUGUGGGUUCGGUGCUAGCGAACAAACCUCUAAACAGAUGGGGAGUGAGGAACAUUCUACGUGCGACUUGGAAGAGUUAUGGUGAAAUAAAGAUCAAAUGGGUAAAAGACAACAUCUUUAUCAUCACGGUCCCAGAUGAAAGUGUGGCAGUAAAGAUUCUUGAUCAGGUGCUUUGGAGGGUUAUGAAAAAAAACUUCUUGGUCAAUAUUUGGCCCGCAGUGCUUGCUUUGGAGGAAGUUGAAGUGGAGAAAGUCCUGUUUUGGGUCCAUAUACGAGGAGUCCCUCUUUGCAUCACCUCUUUAGAGAAUGUCAAACGGUUGACUACAGAGGUGGGGACAUGUAUGGCUAUGGAAGAUCCAGUAAAAACUCGCAGGUUUUUUAAGGUUAGACUUUUGAUUGACUCGACCAAACCACUAGUUACUGGAUGCUGGUUAAGAAGAGAGAAUAAUUAAGAUACGUGGGUAGAAUUUUACUAUGAGAGAUUACAAGAUUUCUGCUAUAGAUGUGGACGCCUAAGACAUGUUAAUACGGAUUGCACUUUUAAGGCAGCCAAAGCCGGGGCAGCAGGUUUCGGAGAUUGGAUGAAGGAACCUCCAGUUAGGGAUGUGACGGAGGUAUCAAAAGUCAUGAUGACAGGAACGGGUGAUCGAAGGAAAGCUGGAGCGGUCAGACUGCCUGCUACAUAUUUAACUUCUUUAGGGACUACUAGGCUGGAUCAUUCCACAGAGUUUUCUGCGGAUAGUGUAAAGGAUAGGGAUAAGGUGCAAGUUCAGGGAGAAGGAAGUGCUAUCCAACCAAAUGGGAGGAAAAAGUGGCAAAUGAGGUCUCGUGACCAGAGACACAUCGAAGGUUCGGUGGGGAUAAAUAAUCAGCUACAUUGGCUUAUUCCACAGGGUGUAAGACAAUCGUUAUGGGGCACUGGGUCUAGUUGCUAUACUUUUUUUAAAAACUUGAAUGUGUAGCAGCCGGGGGCCGGUAUGCAAUCGGUUGUUAUACAUGAGAUCAAUGAGGAGACGACUACAUUGCAACAAGUGGCUGAUAGGGGUAAAGUAAAUGAUCAGGGAGAGGGUGGAUCCUUGACUUUCCCAGACUCUUCUCCUUCGGUUAGAAAUAGACAGAAAAAGGAAAAGGGAACCUCUAGUGAUGGAAAUAUCACAAUCUCCUCAAAAGAAGGGCAGGGGUUCUGAUAAUGCUUUCUCUGUAAAAGAUGCGGGUCUUCUGGCCUGGGAUGGUGGCGGCUGGCCCUCAACAACCGCAAAGUCCCCAUGAUCUUUCUAUUUUGGAACUGCCGUGGUCUGGGGUCGGACAUAGUAGUUCGGGCCCUUCAUGGGCAGAUAAGAAAUGCAAGACCCUCUAUGAUCUUUCUUUCUGAAACAAAGAUGAAAGAUCAUAGAAUUAAUGGAGUACGUAGAAUGAUGGGGUUCACGAAUGGGUUUAAAGUUCCUCCCAUGGGAAGGGUAGGCAGCCUAAGUUUAUGGUGGGAGGAUUCAAUAGAGGUGAACAUUCUCUUCUCCUCUAAACAUGUAAUUGAUGCUCAGGUGAAGUCUUGUGAGAUACAGCAAUGGGUUCGUGUCACUGGGAUUUACAGAACAGCUUAUAGAGGCGAAAAAGCGGAAUUCUGGGGAUGGAUGAAUGAUCACUUUACCUCUUCUGAUAUGCCCUGGCUUUGUGGGGGGGGGGGAUUUCAAUGAAUUUAUUUGGGAUCAUGAAAAAUCGGGCGGAGCUCAUGGCAAGGAAUGAGGAAUGGCGAACUAGUGGAGGAACGUCUAGACCGAGGUCUGAUAAACAAGAAAUGGCAGGAUCUUUGGCCAAAUUCCACUGCUAUUCACGGGACAGUUCUGGGGUCUGACCACUGUCCGGUUAUUAUCAAAACGGAGUUGGAUGGAAAGAAGGGAAGAAAACUCUUCAGGUUUGAAGCUUUUUGGGCGAAGGAAGAUGAUUGCAGGAAGUUGGUGGAAAAUUGUUGGGCCCGGCCGAACUGUGGGGAUGUCCAAAGGAGAUGGGUGAAGAAAAUCUAUGACUGUCGAUCUCUCUUGAUCAAAUGGAGCAGAAACAAAUUUAAAAAAAAAAGGAGAUUACAGAUUGAGGAGUUACUCGGACAGUUGGGGGAACUUCAAAUGAAUUGGAGCACAAAUGUAUCCGAGAUAAAAGAGAAGUCCAAACUUAUUGAUACUAUGUGGGCUCAAGAGGAAAGUUUCUGGCACCAAAGGUCUAGGGUGAAAUGGUUAUGGGAAGGAGAUGCGAACACUAAGUUUUUCCAUCAAUCCACUCUACAGAGACGCGGACGAAAUAUGAUACUAAAGUUAAAAGAUGGUGAAGACAGUUGGGUGGAGAAUCCCACCCAAAUCCGGAAGCUGGUGGAUAAUCAUUUUCUAAAUGUUUUCAAAUCGGGGGGACCUCGGGACUAGAGAAACUUGCUAGAAGGCAUAAAUACUGGAGUUACAGAUGAGAUGAAUAUGGCUCUCAUGGAGUCGGUUUCCUUGGAGGAAAUAAAUGAGGCUGCUUUUCAAAUGGGGGGUCUCAAAGCUCCAGGUCCGGAUGGUUUUCAGGGGAUUUUUUACCGGUCUUUCUGGGAGAUUAUUGUGUAAGAUGUAAACAAUCUAGUGAGGUCUUUAAUGCAAGAUGUGGUCAGCCCGACGGAGAUAACUAACACCCAUAUUGUGUUGAUCCCAAAGAUUCCAAACCCAGAGUCAGUGUCUCAUUUUCGUCCCAUAAGCCUAUGCAAUUAUUCUUACAAGGUGCUAUCCAAAGUUCUGGCUAACAGGUUAAAAGUCAUUCUACCGCAAAUUAUUUCUCCUUCUCAGAAUGCUUUUGUGGCAGGAAGACAGAUUCAGGAUAAUAUUGGGAUAGGACAUGAGGUGUUUCAUUUUCUGAAAGGGCGCAAGUCAAAAAAUAAGUUCGAGUUGGGUAUUAAAGUGGACAUGCAAAAAGCUUAUGAUAGAGUCGAAUGGGAUUUUCUGAAUGCAACAAUGGAAAAAUUGGGUUUCUGCAAACAGUGGAGGAAACUUAUCAUGGGAUGUGUGUCUCCUGUCAAGUUUGCUGUCAUUCUCAACGGGCAUUCCGGAAACAAGUUUGCUCAUUCUAGAGGCUUACGGCAGGGAGACCCUCUAUCACCGUAUUUGUUCCUUCUGAUUGGAGAAGUUUUAUUCAGAUUGAUCCAAGUUGCGGUGGAAAACAAGUCUUUGGAUGAUGUGAAAUUGGGAGUCACUGGGCCAGUUCUUUCCUAUAUUUUCUUUGCAGAUGAUAUGUUAAUUUUUUUUAGAGCAAAUGAGAAAAAUUGCAGGAAUCUUGUCAAUCUCCUUAGGUCGUUCUGUGAUGCCUCAGGUCAGGAAGUAAACUUACAAAAAUUCAGUGUUUUCUUUGGGGCGAAUACUCUGGUGAGAGUUUCUGAGGAGUUGGGAUCUAUUCUUGGCAUGCCAGUAGUUGACAACCCGGGUACUUAUUUGGGAGUCCCGACUUUAUGGGGACGCUCAAAGAAACAGGGCCUCGCUUAUGUGAAGGGGAGAAUUAUAGAGAAACUUCAAGGGUGGAAAAACAGUACCCUUUCGAAGGCGGGCAAAGAGGUCCUAAUUAAGGCGGUUGUUCAGGCUAUACCUGCAUAUCCAAUGAAUAUCUUUAAAUUUCCGGCUAUGGUCUGUGAGGAGUUGGACACUUUGGUUGCUGGUUUUUGGUGGGGAAACAUGAGUGGUGACAAUAAAAUUCACUGAGUGUCGAAGAAGGUCUUGGGCCUCCCUAAGAAUUUGGAGGGUUUGGGCUUUCGAAACUUCAUGGAAUUCAAUGAUGCGCUUCUAGCAAAACAAUGUUGGCGUCUUCUUUGUGAUCCAUCCUCACUGUGUGCUAAAGUGAUUAAGGCUCGUUACUUUCCCAAUUGCUCUUUCUUGGAUGCCAAAAAAUGGGGUAGGGCCUCUUGGGCUUGGAGUAGCCUUCUUAUGGGUCGUGAUCUUCUUAUUAAUGGAACUCACUGGCAAAUUAUGGGAGGUCAGGAUGUGAGAGUCUGGGUUGAUCGAUGGUUACCCUUCAUUCCUUUAGAGCGUCCUUCUCCGCUUGGUGAGGCUAUGGUGACUAGAAACCUUCAUGUUAGCUCGCUUAUUUUCCCUCAGUCUCGUGAUUGGGAUAUCAUUUUUCUACUUCCUUUCCUUUCGAUGGCUGACCAAGAGGCAAUUGAAGGUACGCCUAUUGGGGAUAUUAGUAGACGAGAUCGUUUGAUUUGGGCUGCAACAAAAAAUGGUAGGUACACGGUAAAAUCUGGGUAUAGAUGGUUGCAAUCAAGGUCUCUGAGCAUGAGAGAUCAUCGCCUACCUCUUGUUCGAUCUAUCCCGGAGAAGCUGUGGAAUUGUAUAUGGAAGGUCGAUGUUCCACCAAAGAUCCGCCAUUUUCUAUGGAACUCUAUGCACAAUAUCGUGGCAACUAAAGCGAAUCUGUACAAGAGGCGGUCUACCACUUCCCCCACCUGUCCUAUUUGCUUGGGCGAUGACGAAAUUGUUGAACAUUUAUUCCUUGUCUGCCCGUGGGUUCAAGCUGUUUGGUUUAGAGGGGUUUUGGGUUAUAAGAUAAACAGGCUGGCUAUUAACUCAUGGAUAAGUUGGUUGCAUGAUAUUUUUAAUCCUAAUAUUGGUAAUUCUGUUGAGUUAUUAUGAAUCCAAAGGAUGGUGGCUUACAUUUGUUGGUAUAUUUGGAAAGCCAGGUGUGCUUUUGUGUUUAACCAGGUGCGAAUCAACCCAUUAAAUGUUGUUUUGGCAAUCUCUAAUGCGGUGAGGUCUUUCCUGGCUGUUUCCAACGAUUCGGUGGUUUCUAGGGUUUAGGAGUGUGUCGGCCAGGCUCCAGGCCGAGCCACUUUUUGGGUUCCUCCUCCUCCUCCUUUCACUAAAAUAAAUGUUGAUGCCAGCUGGUUCAAGAUGUCGUGUUUGGGGUUUGUGGGAGUGGUUUUACGAGACACUGAGGCUCAUUUCAUUGCGGUAGCUCGAUACCACAUUCGGGCCCCAUGUGCUGUAGUUGCCGAAGAUUUGGCUUUGCUUCGCGGAUGUGAACUGGGUGCAGCUUUGGGUUUUUCUGAGGUAAUCCUGGAAUCUGACUCUUCCGAGGCGAUUUCUUGCCUCUCAAAUUCUAUGAAGAAUGGCAGUUGGGAGGCUAGUCCUACAUUAGAAAGGGUGAAGCUCUUGGGGGAAGACUUUCAGAACUGUCGCUGGUCUUGGGUCCCAAGAUCAGCCAAUAUGGCGGUUAAUGCUCUUACGUCGCGUGAUUUUGCGGAGCUGUGUGAUGUUGUUUGGGUCGAUAGGCCACCAUCUUCACUGGUUUUUGUUUUAAACAAUGAUGGUCUUCCAUGUCCUCAUUAGCUGUAGGUGGUAGUGUAGGGGGUGACGUUUUUGCCUAGUGGAAGCGUCUCUGUUUGUAACUCUUUACACUGCCUUCCUUACUUUUUCUUGUCUGUUGUUUGCCUCUUUGUUGACUAUCUUGUUUCCUCUCUAGCCUCUGUGCCCUGGAAUACUAUUUCCUUGUUCUUCAAAAAAACAAAACAAAACAAAACAAAACAAGAAAUGCUCAAUCCUCACGCACACCCUCUGCGAAAUGUCUAAUGAAGGCCUUCAUGUUGGUAUGAGAUGAUCCACCUUCUGCAAUGGCAUCAUGACAUAAUUGCGUAAGUUCUCUGUCUCUCCUCAUUUCCUUCCCUUCAUCAUUUCCAAAUCCAUAAACUUCUUCACUAACCCUGCAAUCUCCUCUCUUGUCACCAAAUGGUCAAUUUUAUCCUCAACCUUCCUCACCCUCCAUCCAACCCUCCAAUCCUCCACAAUGAGGUUACUAUUCAUUCCUUGAUCAAGUAGUAUAGCUAAGGUUACAAAGGGAGCACCAGCAAAAACACCUUCCGUAACCGAGUUCUAUCCACAAUGACUCGAAACACCCCCCCCCCCCAAAAAAAAACCCUCGAAUGGCACAAAAUCCUCAAUUGAUCACACCAAGGCACUACCAACCCCAUGUGGUGACCGUAACCGAGUUCCAUCCACAAUGACUAGAAACACCACUCCUCCCCACACAAAUACUCGAAUGGCACAAAACGCUCAAUUGGUCACAGCAAGGCACUACCAAUCCCAUGUCACGACAAACCUCCUUUAUCCUUUCGGUUUCCCCAUGAACCGAACGCCACUCUUGCGGAAGCCGGCUGCAUGCUAGAAACUGAAAGGAAACUUCCCAUGGCAAGGUACAAAAUGGAUACAGGAAAAUAAGCAAGGGUCUCGAAGAGACGAGGGAUAGAACCUGUGAAUCGCUCAACCAAAGGCAACAGAACUCGCUCGACCGCUAAUCGUGAAUUCGUUCACACGACCAAGUCAAACACUUGAUUUGAGAAGGAGGAAAAUACUCUCUUCAGUUGCACAAAACAAUAUAUUUGUAAUUAAUCAAGUCUCCCAAAUGCUUGUAUUACAUCAUAAGAGACACCAUAAUCUAGAUGAACUUAACAAAUUCCCAAGUAAUUAAAAUAGACAGCCUUUAUUAUUUCCAAAGCAUGGUAGUGGUCUUCAAAUUGUUUUCUUCAAGGCCUGCCUCCCGAAUAAAAAACUGAGCUACAAGGUUGUGAGUCUAGCCAUUGGAAUAGUUAGCAUCACACGUUUAUUUCCCUGAUCUGUUAACAAUGCAAAAUUGUUGUUUUAAUAGCAAAGUUCCACAAUAAACACGAAAUCUUAAAACGAAAUGUUAGACGGACAACACGAGGAUGUGUUACUGUCAUAUACGUAAAACUAUUAGUUGACACUCACUAUUAUCUUAAGAAAAAUGUUCUCUAGCUGCACGUUUGCUCAAUUCAACACUACUGUCAUUAGAAGUUGUGGUAGCGACACUCAGAAGAUGGCACUCUCACCGGUGAUGUGAUACAACCAAAUUGCAGUGUGCAAUCUUCUUACUUGUUGAUUGUAUCCAUAUAUGGAAGCUAGAACUUAAAAAUAAGUCCUCCAGGGAUUUUAAAGCUUGCAGCGGCCAUGCCUAACUGCUUUUUAUACAGUUUGGUUGUGCCAGACCCGUUCAAAGUGAAACAGGAAACACCCUCAUAUGAAACAUAAUAAGAACAUAAUUCUCAAGAAAAUGGGAGUUUGGAAAGUUUCCAAUUUUUAUUACUCCACAAAUGAAUUUGAUCCCAAUUGAUCCCAGGUUUGGUACAAACUGGGGUCCCAACCAAACUGGAAACACCCUCAGAUGAAACACAAUUGAGUAUUUUAGAGUGCCGAUAGCAGCGCCUUAAAUAAAACCGAAAGUGCAAAAUCAGAUACAAACAGCAACAACAAAGUCUUAUCUCACUAAGUGGAGUCAGUUGGCAAAGCUAGAGCAAACAUUCCACAUAGUUGAGAAUGCACUUGAAGUACAACCCCUUGCACCGACACUUUGUAUUUUCAUCGACGCACAAGACAAAUCACUACAAGCUUUGCACCGUCUUUUGAGAACUAGCAACAACAAGAUUCAGUGUGCUCAAUGCUUAUGCAUGGCCUUGAAAAAUGUCUCCAACGAAGGCAUUGAUGUUCGUUUGAGAUGAUCCGCCUUCUUCAAUAGCAUCAUGACAUAUCUGUUUAAGUUCUCUGGCCCUUCUCCUCAUUUCUCUCCCUUCAUCGUCCUCCAAAUCCAUAAACUUCUGCGCCAGCCCAGCAAUCUCCUCGCUUGUCACCAAAUGGUCCCUUUUGUCCUCAGCCUUCCUCAACCUCCACCCAACUUUCCAAUCCUCCACAAUCAGCUUACUAACCAUGCCUUGAUCCAUACCUAACGGAAAGGUCAGAAACGGGACACCAACAAAAACAGCUUCCCUAACUGAGUUCCAACCGCAAUGUGUCAAAAACCCACCAACACUAGAAUGGCACAAAACCCUCAAUUGUUCACACCAAGGCACUACCAAACCCAUGUCGCCACAAGCAUCUUUUAACCUGUCCGUUUCCCCACGGGCCACCCAUAUGAACCGAACCCUACUCAAGCGCAAACCGCCUGCAAUCUCAUCCAUUUGGGCACCUGAAAAUGAAAGAAAACUUCCCAUGGAGAUGUACAGAACAGAGCUGCAAGGUUGAGAAUCUAGCCAUUGUAGAUAGUCGAUUCCAGCACUCGGGUGAUCAUUAGAUUUGAUGUAGGGUAUUAAUGGACCAAUUGUGUAAAUGGGUAGUGAGAAUAUUGAUCUUAAAACGUCGAUGACUUGGGGUUCAAGCUCAUAGAUGGAGGGGAAUAAGAGAUAUUGUGCUUUAGGCACCCAUGAGAAAUCUUCAAGGAUGUGGUGGAGAAUGUUUGGGAAGAUUCCACUAAUGAAAGGCAGGUCUGCUAGUCGUGUUGAAGAAACACCUGGGAUGUAGUCCACACGUUCAUUUCCUCUCUCUAUAAACACACAGGAGAGCAAAAAAAAUUAGAAAACGACAUGGAGGGCACAAAAUUGUGACCCAUGCGGUGAAAAACUUCCUUACAAACUCAUGAACUUUGUUGUUAAGACUUAAGCAUGCUCGAUAUAGUCCAAAUCGAACUUUGCAUCCUAAUUUUGAGCAAGUUAACCCACGUGCGUGCACGGGUUAACAUGUUAUUUUAAGACGUUGAAGCUAUUAAAAUGACCGUUUCACCAUUCCACAUGAGACACACACUGGUAAAACUUAAAAAGCGAACAAAAUUAAAAGACAAAAUGGACGGCACAUAAUUGUGACCCAUGUGGUGAAAAAGAUUCCUAGUACAAACUGAACUUUGUGGUUAAGCAUGCUCGAUCUAAUCCAAAUCGAACUUUGUAUCCUAAUUUUGAGAAUUUAACCGGACCUGGAUCUCCUUCGGAUCCAAAAGGAUCUGAGUUCAUUAAUCAAAGAAUCCAGAUCGUUGAAAUUUGAUACAACGACUACAAUUAUUAUAAAUUUAGAGAUGUUCUGUUUGUAGCAUUUGAAUCAAAUUUCAAUAACUCGGGUUCAUUGAUUAGUGAGCUCAGAUUCCUUGGAACCGGAAGGGAUCCAGUUCCAAUUUAACCCAUGUGGACAUCAUGUGCAAAGGUGAAAAGAUCAUUUUAAGAUGUAUAAGCUUGUUAAUUUAUAUCUUAAAACUUCCUUGAAAAUAUCGCUUCACCCUUCUACAGGAAGCACACACUGGUAAAACUUAGUAGUGGACAAAAUUAGAUUGUAAGGUUUGAU
rnacentral:lncRNA from 1 species